rnacentral:rRNA from 1 species
CACGUAGGGCGCAAGCGUUGUCCGGAAUUAUUGGGCGUAAAGAGCGUGUAGGCGGCUCGGUAAGUCCGCUGUGAAAGUCCAGGGCUCAACCCUGGAAUGCCGGUGGAAACUGUCGAGCUCGAGUCCGGAAGAGGCGAGUGGAAUUCCUGGUGUAGCGGUGAAAUGCGCAGAUAUCAGGAGGAACACCGAUGGCGAAGGCAGGUCUCUGGGCCAUAACUGACGCUGAGAAGCGAAAGCAUGGGGAGCGAACAGG